UGCGCAGGGGGGUUAUUAAGUCAGUGGUGAAAUCUCUCGGCUCAACCGAGAAACUGCCAUUGAAACUGAUAAUCUUGAGUAUAGUUGUAGUAGGCGGAAUAUAGCAUGUAGCGGUGAAAUGCUUAGAUAUGCUAUAGAACACCGAUCGCGAAGGCAGCUUACUAAACUAUUACUGACGCUCAUGCACGAAAGCGUGGGGAGCAAACAGGAUUAGAUACCCUGGUAGUCC
rnacentral:rRNA from 1 species